AUGGAGGGUGGGAGUGGAGGUGGGGGAAAAGGAGGUUAUUUUUGCCCCGGGGAUUUCAGAGCCCCUCUGUUAUGUGUUUUUCUCCUCUCUCUCCUGCCCACCCAAGCCCUCAGAGGGGAAGAUCUGCUGAAGACAGGGAGAGGUCCUUGCAGCCCCUUGGCAAAGCAGGUGCUACCUCUGUGGCUCUGGAGAACAGAGAAUUCACUGAAGGACAUGAGAUGCCCAGUGGCUCCCCCAUGCCAACCUACCACAAUGCUCCCAACUCAAGAGAAAAGAGGGCCUCACCCCAAGAAGCCACAGAUGAAUGCUUAUGGAAGGAGAGAAUGAAUGAUUGAGAUAACAUCGUCCUGAACACAUCAGGCAAGAUACCUGAAGGAAAUAGGAAGCAUGUCCAGAGGGGACUUGAAGAGGCAUCCAUGGAGGGACAGUUGACUGAGCUGUAAAGAGGGGAUGUGGAAGCACCGGGGACCCAGCAAUAGCACACAGCAUCACUCCACCUCUGCGAAGGGGGUUAGAAGAGGGCACGGUCUUACUGGAAUGGGGCAGGAGCUGGACUGUGGAGGGUGGGCCACUCUGCAUGGCAGGAGCUAUAGGACCCAUGGUCACCACCCAGCACAUGGGGAUCACUCCUAUUGGCUUCGUUGCCUGUCUUCCUCAGGGCGCUGUGAGAUCCUUAAUAAACCAGGUUUUGCUACACUCUAGACCCCCCCAAAUUAAGCACCAGGUCUUCCAUUCAGUAAGUCUUAGUUAACUAAUGAAUUGAGUCCUCUUGAUUUCCUAAGACCACUCACUCCUGGAUGGUGAUCUCUUUACCUACCAUGGGCUUCCCCCAAAAGAGACAUCAAGGACUGAACUGAUCACCCCUGUCCCAAAAUGGCCACACUCACGUGACAUUUAGUUUCCACUGGAUAUGCCUCUCUCCAAAUGGGGUGCAGGGUUCUGGAUCCUGCCUCUCAAACCCAAAGAGCAGCAUCACUGAGCGCACACACAGACAAACACAGUGAGUUACCACCAAAAGUUAGGACUCCAGUAGAGAACUCAGAGAAUUUGGGAGUCUGAGAUGACUGGGACAGCCAGAGAAAAGCUCUUUCGGAUUUCCAUUCCAUCUUUAUGCCUUCUUGGGGUUAAUAUGGAAAUAGGGAACCAGGCUCAGCCCCUAAAAUCCUUCAGUUCAAUGUCUCAAGAGGAAGAGUUAAACACACAAGGCCAUCUUCUUGUGAAAGAGUGAGUGGAUUAUGUCACCCUCAUAUGUAGAACUCUUGAGUGGGUCCCCAUUCUACCUAGAACUAAACCUAAGCUCUCUCUGUGGUCACCAAGGCCCUUGAGCAUCUGGAUCCUGCCUAAUUCCCCUUCCUCACCUUACUCCCCAUCCCCUCCAUUCACUGUCCUUCUCCGCAGUUACUUUUCUUUUGUCUCCAAAUAUCCUACACUCACAUCUCAGGACUUAGUGUCCUCUGUUCUCUCUGCAUGAAGUGCUGUUCCCCCAGACUAUCUCAUUCUGCCUCUUUCUUGUUACUCGGAUACCAACUCAAGGGCACCCGCUUUGCAUGGUCUUCCCUGAACCUAGCUAAGGAAUGUGCUGCCUCCUAGUCAUGCUCUACCACAUUCCUUUAUUUUUUUGCCAUCACAGCACUUACCAAGACCUCACAUUGUUUUAUUGAUUUUGGUAGAUAUUUAUGGUCUGACUUUAAUUUGUAAGAGCAGGCUCAGUUUGCCUUUCACAUUAUCAUAUCCUCAGUGUGAGAAGUGCCUGGCAUGCAGUAGGCACUUAAUAAAUCAUUGUUGAGCAGUUAUUAACUAUAAUGAUGAGAACUAAUGUUUAAUAACCACCCAUUGUAUACUGGGAGAAAUGGUACUUUGGUGGGAAUUUGAACUUCAGAUUCCUGUUUCACCCAUAUUUGCUGUGUGUUUUGCCUAGCCUACUGAACCUCUCUGAGUGAAAUGGGAAUAACAUCAGCCCUUUCUUCAAGGAAGUGAGAAUGCAAAGGACAUUGGAGUUGAGAAAGUCAACUGGAUUUUUCAUACUGACAGUUCUCUCAUUCAGACUUCCCAAGCUCCUUUGAAAUGAGUGUUUUCGUCCCAUUUUACAGAUAAGAAUACUGAUGCUCAGAGAGCCGACUGAACUCCUGGAAGUCACACAUACUGAAAGUGGCAAAGCGGGAUCUGCCCCUGCUCUGUCUGAUGCUAACAGGACUGCUGAGGUCUCCCCUUCACCUCGCCUCAAGUUGACAUUCGGCCUGUGGAAAUAGACCUCUAAGCCAGCCUUUCUUGCUAGUUUGGUUUUAGCCUCUCCUGGCCUCAGCUUUGCCAUCUGUGAAAUAUGUGAGUGGUCUAGAUAGUGCCUGAAACCUACCAGCUCCAAGUCUAUGGCCUAUGGAUGGGCUGUGAGGACAAACAAGGCUGAGGUGGGUUUUCACUCCAUUCCUGGAAUAUCUGGUCAUCCUUCCAGGGUUCUUCAUGGCAGGGAAACAAAAUAAACAACUGAAGAACAUGAGGUUCAGGAGAUUUAAAUCUGAAUUCCAAUGUUGGCUUUGGGUGCCUCUAACCAACCACAAAUCUAUCCCAAGCCCAAGGCAGGCUGGUCUUACUCAACAUUUAUG
ensembl:lncRNA